rnacentral:tRNA from 1 species
GGUGGUGUUCGCCCGGGUCGUGCGGGCGUCCGCGCUCGCGACCCGGGACCUGGAGUUCGUCGACUCCGCCCGCGUGCUCGGCGCCGGCCACCUGCG